CCUCCUUUGUUCCUCAGUGGGGAAUAUUGGACAAUGGGGGGAACCCUGAUCCAGCCAUGCCGCGUGUGUGAAGAAGGCCCUCGGGUUGUAAAGCACUUUCAGUGAGGAAGAACGCCUGGUGGUUAAUACCCAUCAGGAAAGACAUCACUCACAGAAGAAGCACCGGCUAACUCCGUGCCAGCAGCCGCGGUAAUACGGAGGGUGCGAGCGUUAAUCGGAAUUACUGGGCGUAAAGCGCGCGUAGGUGGCUUGAUAAGCCGGUUGUGAAAGCCCCGGGCUCAACCUGGGAACGGCAUCCGGAACUGUCAAGCUAGAGUGCAGGAGAGGAAGGUAGAAUUCCCGGUGUAGCGGUGAAAUGCGUAGAGAUCGGGAGGAAUACCAGUGGCGAAGGCGGCCUUCUGGACUGACACUGACACUGAGGUGCGAAAGCGUGGGUAGCAAACAGGAUUAGAUACCCUGGUAGUC
rnacentral:rRNA from 1 species